UCGCCAUGGCGGUAGCUACAAUGCAAGUCGAACGGCAGCACAGGAGAGCUUGCUCUCUGGGUGGCGAGUGGCGGACGGGUGAGGAAUACAUCGGAAUCUACUUUUUCGUGGGGGAUAACGUAGGGAAACUUACGCUAAUACCGCAUACGACCUACGGGUGAAAGCAGGGGAUCUUCGGACCUUGCGCGAUUGAAUGAGCCGAUGUCGGAUUAGCUAGUUGGCGGGGUAAAGGCCCACCAAGGCGACGAUCCGUAGCUGGUCUGAGAGGAUGAUCAGCCACACUGGAACUGAGACACGGUCCAGACUCCUACGGGAGGCAGCAGUGGGGAAUAUUGGACAAUGGGCGCAAGCCUGAUCCAGCCAUACCGCGUGGGUGAAGAAGGCCUUCGGGUUGUAAAGCCCUUUUGUUGGGAAAGAAAUCCAGCUGGUUAAUACCCGGUUGGGAUGACGGUACCCAAAGAAUAAGCACCGGCUAACUUCGUGCCAUCAGCCGCGGUAAUACGAAGGGUGCAAGCGUUACUCGGAAUUACUGGGCGUAAAGCGUGCGUAGGUGGUCGUUUAAGUCCGUUGUGAAAGCCCUGGGCUCAACCUGGGAACUGCAGUGGAUACUGGGCGACUAGAGUGUGGUAGAGGGUAGCGGAAUUCCUGGUGUAGCAGUGAAAUGCGUAGAGAUC
rnacentral:rRNA from 1 species